GCGGAGCUUGGGCAAAGAGAGAUACACAUACAGGGCUGAUAGUUACUGUGGGCGCAAUGGAGCGGAGGAGAGAGUUGGAGAGAGAGUGUAUGGUGUACUGCGGAGCUUGGGCAAAGAGAGAUACACAUACAGGGCUGAGUAUACGAAUAUCUUUAUUGGAGCAUUGUGUUCAGAUGCAUUGUGUGAUGUGAAGUUAACACACAUUGAAGAUCUGCUAGGAUUGCAGGAAGGAGAUCGUGCUGCCAGUUGUGUCGGAUGUCGGUUAUCUGGAAGAGAAGUGGAGAGAUCCAGUGUUAAUGAAAGUGAUUGGUGGGUGAGCCGGAACCAGCGAAAAAGGAGUCUGGUGCCUUGUCGUGGCUGUGACGUUCCCUCUGGCCGUCUGCUGCAUCGGUGCCCCCAACGUCCAGGAACUAAUCCCCGGUCCUAUGUGGUUUUGACCCUAAUUCACUGUGAGUGUGUGGAGUGUAGUGGGCGAGUCCUUUUCUUUGCUGUGUGUAUACUUGAAGUCUGCAGUGUCGUGCUGUGUCAUGUUGUCAGUCAUCACCCUCUAGGCUGGGAGAGAAAACCCUGUGGAGAAGAACGUGCACCGGUGUUGUGAGACGACCGUCUUUUAUAUACAUGCCCGCUCGCGGCUUUGGACCCCUACUCCGCCGAGUGGCGACGUGCCAACAAUAGCAAAGGUUCGCCCCUGUCUAGAUCUCUGGUCCGUUGUUUGGAAGAGAGGAGAGGGAAGCGUUCGAGUCAUUCCUGAGGUACAUACCCGGUGACACAAACCUACCUGAAGUCACUCAGCGUGGUGGCACCAGCUGAGGCCGUGGAAGGCCCAACGUGCAGCGACUUCAAUCUGUA
ensembl:lncRNA